UCACCUACGGGAGGCAGCAGUGAGGAAUAUUGGUCAAUGGCCGAGAGGCUGAACCAGCCAAGUCGCGUGAGGGAUGACGGCCCUACGGGUUGUAAACCUCUUUUGUCGGGGAGCAAAGAGAGUCACGUGUGACUCAUUGAGAGUACCCGAAGAAAAAGCAUCGGCUAACUCCGUGCCAGCAGCCGCGGUAAUACGGAGGAUGCGAGCGUUAUCCGGAUUUAUUGGGUUUAAAGGGUGCGCAGGCGGAGGUGCAAGUCAGCGGUCAAAUUGCGGGGCUCAACCUCGUACUGCCGUUGAAACUGCAU
rnacentral:rRNA from 1 species